AGUGAACGCUGGCGGUAGGCCUAACACAUGCAAGUCGAACGGCAGCACGGUAAGAGCUUGCUCUUACGGGUGGCGAGUGGCGGACAGGUGAGGAAUACAUCGGAAUCUACUUUUUCGUGGGGGAUAACGUAGGGAAACUUACGCUAAUACCGCAUACGACCUACGGGUGAAAGCAGGGGAUCUUCGGACCUUGCGCGAUUGAAUGAGCCGAUGUCGGAUUAGCUAGUUGGCGGGGUAAAGGCCCACCAAGGCGACGAUCCGUAGCUGGUUUGAGAGGAUGAUCAGCCACACUGGAACUGAGACACGGUCCAGACUCCUACGGGAGGCAGCAGUGGGGAAUAUUGGACAAUGGGCGCAAGCCUGAUCCAGCCAUACCGCGUGGGUGAAGAAGGCCUUCGGGUUGUAAAGCCCUUUUGUUGGGAAAGAAAAGCAGCAGGUUAAUACCCCGCUGUUCUGACGGUACCCAAAGAAUAAGCACCGGCUAACUUCGUG
rnacentral:rRNA from 1 species